CUUUUUUUUUUUAAGAUUUCUUAAUUUUAAUCUGUAGUAUUUGAGUAGUUUCUUAUCCACCAUCUGUUAAUUUGGUUUUGCAAAUGCUAGACUAGGAACCACCCACAUUUAGCACCUAUUCUCUUCCUCCCCUCCAAUAAAAGCCAUGACUAAAUAAUUAUUUAGCAAAAGAUUAAUCCCCUACUCCCUCUAAUUACCAAUGUGGGGUUGGUUGUUCA